rnacentral:lncRNA from 1 species
CGAAUGCCUAUUGCAAAUGGAAUGGAAAUGAAAUAAAAUCCCAUAAAUUGGUAACAGUGUGCAAGCAAAGAAACCCGUGAAUCACCACUUCAUUCAAUCACCAUUUUUCAUCAUUUCAAAAAGCAAGACCUCGUAAACCGCAUUCUAAAAGAAAAAGACGUGCUCUGCAUUCCAUCAUGAAACAUGAAAGCAUUCUCCAAGCAAAGAUAAAUAUACGUGUGCACCUAAAAAAACGAAUCAGCAUUUUUUUACUAUAAGAAAAACAAAAAUCUAAUUCUACUUCUACACUUCUACAAGAACGGAAAACGUUGAAUGCCGAGAGUGGUGGUGGCAGCUGCACCCCUUCAAAAAUCUCCAAUCCUCCUAGAAGCUACAUUCUGGCUAUAUUGCCUAUUCUCCAAAAGAAAGGAAAGAUGUCCUGUGCAUGUGACGGAUGGUGGGAAUAUCCCCCUAGGGUUGCGUGCCUUUUUCUGAUGUGGACCAUGGAGAUGCUGGAGCAUGGCCGUGAAAAGCUGCUGGGCUUGCAGGAUGUACCUCCCGUAAUCAGCUGCUGUUGCUUUCUGAGGGCCGUGUUGCUGGGACGCUGCUGCCAAGGUGCUUGUUGUUUCCACCUCCAAAUGCUUCACGUGCUGGAUUGCUGAUUCCUCCAAGCCUCAUUCAAAGCUGGACGUUCCUUCAAUGGGCUUCUUUGUUGGACGCUGCAGCCAGACUGCACGUGGACGUGUGCUUGGGUGUUGCAGCUGGACGUGCGUGGUGUGUUGUUGUUGUGGGCCGUGAGCUGCAACAGGACUUGCUGGAUGGUGUGUUAUUUUAUUUGGGUUGCUGCUUCCUUAGUUUUUGAUGCAGAUCGUGUCUUCCUUCUCGGUGGCAGCUGAUGCAUACUGGACCGUGUAGAAGGCUGUGUGCGUGUCUCCAAGCUACAGGACGUUGUGGAGGCAGUUGGACCGAAGCUGUUGUAUGCACCGCCCAAUUGCUGGACGUAAAUGGAUGUUGGUGGAUACUACAAUAAUAUUCACGGGGCCCGCUGGAUAUGCAGCUGCUUCUGAUGCUGGACUCACCAAAUCUGCUACCGGCCUGGAUGUUUUUUUAUUACGGCCCAAUAAGAUUAGCGCGCUGCAGCUCUUUGUUUCUUGAGUCUGUGUGCUUCUUCCUAACGUGGCAGCUGCUGGUUUUGAUUAAAUUAGUUGCCCUCCAUGUGAUAUGAAAUAAGUGUGCACUUCAAAGCCCAAGUGAUUUCGCUUGCUACAACGUGUUCAAGUGAGUGUUGGCAGCACACACGUCUUAACAUCAAUGUUGGACACAUCCAAUUCUCUUGCACCAAUUGAAUUCAGCAUUCCUUUCUUUAAUUGCCAAUAAAAAAAAUAAAAGCCUGUGUCCGUGAAGUGUUGUAGCCCGUGUAAAGAAAAGAAGAAAUGGAAUGGCCCAAAACCGUGACAACAGCUGUUUUAUUUUUUUCUCCAAGCUCAAAUAUUAAGUGCCAAUCUCCUAAAGGAAAACUAAUUUUCAAGCAAACCUUCAUUUAAUCUCUAAAUGUCC